rnacentral:rRNA from 1 species
GUGAAGGUGUACUGUGAGGUAUGCUGGAGGUAUCAGAAGUGCGAAUGCUGACAUAAGUAACGAUAAAGCGGGUGAAAAGCCCGCUCGCCGGAAGACCAAGGGUUCCUGUCCAACGUUAAUCGGGGCAGGGUGAGUCGACCCCUAAGGCGAGGCCGAAAGGCGUAGUCGAUGGGAAACAGGUUAAUAUUCCUGUACUUGGUGUUACUGCGAAGGGGGGACGGAGAAGGCUAUGUUGGCCGGGCGACGGUUGUCCCGGUUUAAGCGUGUAGGCUGGUUUUCCAGGCAAAUCCGGAAAAUCAAGGCUGAGGCGUGAUGACGAGGCACUACGGUGCUGAAGCAACAAAUGCCCUGCUUCCAGGAAAAGCCUCUAAGCAUCAGGUAACAUCAAAUCGUACCCCAAACCGACACAGGUGGUCAGGUAGAGAAUACCAAGGCGCUUGAGAGAACUCGGGUGAAGGAACUAGGCAAAAUGGUGCCGUAACUUCGGGAGAAGG